GAAGCACAAAUCCUCAUGGAGGCAUACGAGGAGGUAAAAGAUAUAAUUAAGAAGAAAGGCAACACCGCCACAGUGAUAAAGCAAAGAGAAAAAGCGUGGCAAAGUAUUGCAGACCGCCUGAAUGCAUUAAACAUGAACGGGCCAAAACGGACAUGGCAGCAGGUCAAAAUCAAAUACAAGAACAUUCUGCAGAAUGCAGUGAAAAAGAAUACCCACAGACAAGGCACGGGUGGUGGGUCACCAAAGGCUGACCUUACCCCAGCAGAGGACAUGGCCUUGGAGCUAAAUAAAG